GGGUCAGUAGGUUGGUCGUGCCACCGGUACGUACUGGUCUCACUGAUUCCUCCUUCCUGAAGAACCGUAAUGCCAUUAAUUUGGUGUUGCGGGGAAACAGGACUGUUACUUUGAAGAAAUUAGAGUGUUUAAAGCAAGCUAACGCUUGAAUACAUUAGCAUGGAAUAAUGAAAUAGGACGAUCGAUCCUAUUUUGUUGGUUUCUAGGAUUGACUUA
rnacentral:rRNA from 1 species